CUUUUGACACCACAAGAAAUAUUUAAGAAUAUUUCUCACAUUAGACGGAAUGCACGUUUGAACUUUUAAAUACAAGAAUUAAAUCCCCAGAAACUUCAAAACUAGCAAGUCAAGGAAAAAAAAAACUGGCUGGAUUUUGUUAAAUGAAGCUCAGCUUUGAAAUCAUCAGCUUUACUUAUUUGAAAAGAGGAGUCUGAGAUUUGUAAGGCAAGAGUCUAGGUCCGAAUUAAUAAGCAUAAUUAGAAAAGAUUAAACGUAUCAGAGGAAGAGAAGAGCAUCUGUUGCCAGCAGGAUAAUGUCAGGGCUUUACAUAAUGCAAAUGGGAUUUUCGAGGAAUAGCUAAUGUCAUGGUGGUAUGUAUUCACUAAGGAGAGGCAGCCAUGUUUUUCCAGCAGAAAAAUACCAAGAGGUGGAUUCAUGCCCCUCUAUCAGCAACAUCCCUCCCUUUUACAUUUCAGCGCUGUGGGUUAAAGCAGUAUGUCUGACUCUGCUUUCUGAAAUAAUAAGCCCCAUGAGCAAACAGUUUUUACCACCAUGAUGUUCUUCCAAACGUUUGGUUUCAAUUGGGGUGCACACAUCACCCAUCCCCUCUUCGAAGGUUCUCGGUUAAUCACUCCGUGG